rnacentral:rRNA from 1 species
AACCCGACUCCGUGAAGCUGGAUUCGCUAGUAAUCGCGCAUCAGCCAUGGCGCGGUGAAUACGUUCCCGGGCCUUGUACACACCGCCCGUCACACCAUGGGAGUCGGUAACACCCGAAGUCAGGAGCCUGACCUUUUUAGGAGGGCACUGCCGAAGGUGGGAUUGAUGACUGGGGUGAAGUCGUAACAAGGUACC